rnacentral:rRNA from 2 species
GACAGCGGCGCUGUCUCCACCCGAGACUCAGUGAAAUUGAAAUCGCUGUGAAGAUGCAGCGUUCCCGUGGCAAGACGGAAAGACCCCGUGAACCUUUACUAUAGCUUUACACUGAACGUUGAGUUCGUCUGUGUAGGAUAGGUGGGAGGCUAUGAAACCAUGGCGCCAGCUGUGGUGGAGCCAUCCUUGAAAUACCACCCUGUCGUGCUUGACGUUCUAACCUGGGCCCAUUAUCUGGGUCGGGGACCGUGUAUGGUGGGUAGUUUGACUGGGGCGGUCUCCUCCUAAAGAGUAACGGAGGAGCUCGAAGGUACGCUCAGCGCGGUCGGACAUCGCGCACUGUGUGCAAAGGCAUAAGCGUGCUUGACUGCAAGAUCGACGGAUCAAGCAGGUAGGAAACUAGGACUUAGUGAUCCGGUGGUUCUG